rnacentral:lncRNA from 1 species
GUUGACAUUGCAUGCAUAUCAUUUUCGAAUCCUUUAGUGUUGAAAUCAUUAAACACAACAUUAAUGUAUCCGAACUUAUUUUCAAUGUAGCACUUGUAAAUAGUUGAUCUCGUCAAAGGCAUGUGUUUUGUUUGAAGAAAAGCAGAAUAACCGGUCACAUUUACGUUUGUACCAUAAACAGAAAUUUCAACAGUAGAUUCCAUGAAUGUGCUAUUUACUAAAAUCAGUCCAUUUAAAGGUUGGUUGUUAUCGUACCAUUUCAUUAUAAAUGGUUUAGGAUUUGCGAAAAGGCAUAUUUUAAAUAUUACUAGUCCGGUUCCCUGCUUGAUAUCUACCGAUUUGUCGACUAAAACAGGUUUUGCUGAAAAAGAAACAAGUUGUUGAAUUUACAAUUGACUG